UUGGCGUUUUCUUUUUUAACGUCAGGCUUUAAUUUUUGCCAAAUUUGUGAACAUGAUGGUCAUGUUAAUCUCAGGUGUACAAGCAGAGUGAUUCAGUAUUUUUGCAGAUUAUAUUCCAUUAUAGGUUAUUACAAGAUAUUAGGUGUAAUUCCCUGUGCUAUACAGUAAAUCCUUGUUGCUUAUCUAUUUUAUAUAUUCUAGUUUGUAUCUGUUGAUCCCAUACCCCUAAUUUGUCCCUCCCUCCUUCCACUCCCCACCGGUAACCGCUAGUUUGUUUUCUGUUUCUGUGCGUCGGUCUCUGUUUUGUGUAUACAUUCAUUUGUAUUAUUUUUUUAGAUUCCACAUAUGAGUGAUGUUAUGUAGUAUUUGUCUUACUUCACUAAGCAUAAUAUUCUCUAGGUCCAUCCAUGUUGCUGCAAAUGGCAAUAUUUCAUUCUUUUUAGUUUUUUAAGGAACCUCCAUACUGUUUUCCAGUGGCUGCACCAAUUUACAUUCCCACCAACAGUGUAGGAGGGUUCCCUUUUCUCCACACCCUCUCCAGCAUUUAUUAUUUGUAGACUAUUUUUUUAAAUUAAUUUUUAUUGGAGUAUAGUUGCUUUACAAUGUUGUGUUAGUUUCUGUUGUGUAGCAAGGUGAAUCAGCUAUACGUAUACAUAUAUCCCCUCUUUUUGGGAUUUCCUUGUAGGUUCUCAUUAGCUAUCUAUUUUAUACAUAGUGGUGUAUAUAUGUCAGUCCCAAUCUCCUAAUUCAUCCCACCCUCCCUCCCCCCGCCUUGGUAUCCAUAUGUUUGUUCUCUACAUCUGUGUCUCUGUUUCUGCUUUGCAAAUAACUGAUGGCCAUUCUGACCAGUGUGAGGUGAUACCUCAUCGCAGUUUUGAUUUGCAUUUCUCUAAUUAACGAUGUUGAGCAUCUUUUCAUGCGCCUAUUGGCCAUCUGUGUGUCUUCUUUGGAGAAAUGUCUAUUUAGGCCUUCUGCCUAUUUUUUGAUUGAGUUGUUUAGUUUUUUGUUAUGGAGUUGUAGGAGCUGUCUGUAUAUUUUGGGAAUUAAGCCCACGUCGGUCACAUCAUUUGCAAAUAUUUUCUCCCAGUCCAUAGGUUGUCUUUUCAUUUUGCUUAUGAUUUCCUUUGUUGUGCAAAAGCUUAUAAGUUUGAUUAGGUCCCAUUUGUUUAUUUUUGCUUUUAUUUCUAUUGCCUUGGGAGACCGACCUAAGAAAACAUUGGUAUAAUUUAUGUCAGAGAAUGUUUUGCCUAUGUUCUCUUCUAGGAGUUUUAUGGUAUCAUAUAUUAUAUUUAAGUCUUUAAGCAUGGCACGUUUUUAGAACUGGGCAUUUAUCUUUUCGUUAUAAGAGUUUUAAGAAUUCUUAAUAUAUUCUGGAUGCAAGUCUCUUACCAGAUAUUUGAUUUGCAAAUAUUUUCUCCCAUUCUGUGGGUUCUUUUCACUUUUUGGUGAAAGGGAUGUCUCAGUGCACCAAAGAUUUUAACUUUGAUGAAGUUCGAUUUAUCUUUUUUUCUCUUGUUGCUUGUGCUUUUGGUGUCGUAUCUGAUCUAAGGUCACGAAUUUACUCCUAUGUUUUCUUCAAAGAAUUUUAUGAUUUUGGUCCUACAUCUAGGUCUUUGAUGGGUUUUGAGUUUAUUUUUAUCUGAUGUGAGGUCGGGGUCCAACUUCCUUCUGCAUGUGCAGAUAUGCAUGUGGAUAUCCAUGUGUUCCAGCACCAUUUGCUGAAAGAGUAUAUUUUCCUCAGUUAAUUGUCUUGGUACCCUUGUCGAAAAUCAGUUGUCCCUAAAUGUGUUUAUUUCUGGUGUCUCAGCUCUACCCCACUGAUCAGUAUGUCUGUCCUUAAUGCCAGUAACACACUGUCUUGAUAAAUGUAACUUUGUAGUAAGCUGUGAAAUUUGGAGGUAUGAGCCCUUCAAAGUAGUAUAUCACUUUUUUUCUUUCAGUUUGUGUUGUUUUAGUCUUAAUAAAUCCUUCUCUACCUGAAGACAUAGAAAAUCUUGUAUUUUCCUUUAAAAGUUUUAAAGUUUUGCUUUUCACGUUCAGGUCUUUAAUUCAGCUUGAACCAUGUGUUUGGAGUGUGUGGUGUGAAGUAGGGACUAAUUUAUUUUUAUCUGUAUUUUUCCAUAUGAGGCUUAUUUAUUUUUUCCAUAUAGUGCCAGUUGUUCCAGCGCAGUUUUUCCCCACUGAUUAUGUUCGACGCAUGUUUGUUAGCGAAUAUGCAUAUCUUUGUUCCCCAGUUCUGGAUGGUUUUUCCAAAUGUAAUUUUAUAUAUUGGUUUUGUUUACAACUUUAUUUCAAAGAAUGCUUUCUCUCAUAAGAAUAUUACUUUAUGUUGAAAAAAGUAAUUUGAAAAUCUUUCAUAAACAUAAUCUGUGUACAUGAAAAUUUUCUUUGAGUAAGAAAGGGUACAGAAUGAAAAGUAAGCCACUCUCCACCCAAUUCUCAAAAUGCCAUACCUCCCAGAAGCAAUCACUAUUACUCGUUCUUUUUUAAUUUGUCUUUGGAAGUGCUUUAGGCAGCUACAGCUCAUAGUAUAUAUGAGCUUUUAUUCAAAUGGUAGCAUAUCCUAUGUAACUUCGGUAACUUACGUUAUUCUCUUAAUAAUAUAUCUUGGAGUCAUUUUCUACCAUCUAUGAAAAUACUUUUUUAUUCUUAGCUGAAGCUGCAUACUGUUCCAUUGUUUGGAUGUACAAUGAUUUAAGUCAGUCCCCUUUUGAAGGACAUUUUGUUGUUUCUCAUCUUAUGCUUUUAGAGGCAGUGCUACAGUGAAUUACCUCAUGCAUAGAUCACUGUACACGGAAGCCCUGUAUCUGUAGGGUCUUUACCUGCCUUUGACAUUUGUCUAUUGACUUAGCUUAUGGUAGUUUUUGCUAUGCGUACUUUCUUAGUGUAAUCAUAUUUAUCUGUAUUUCCUUCUUUGAGUUAUGCGUAUGUGACGUUGAUGCUGCUGGUCUGGAGACUAGAACUUUUGAGAACCACUGGUGUUGUGCAAAAAAUUAUUUGAAACUCUUUCUUCCCUCGUAUGUUGUUACAGUGACCACUGCUUUCAAAGAGUGAACCUGAGGAAAAGCUCAGUGGCACCACUGAUGAAUUUUAUAACCAGGAGAGUUUCAUGGCUCUUCUUUUCAGCCAUGUUCCCCACUGAUUUGCUUACAGUAAAUCUCUUCCAAUGAUGGUACAGAUUUCCCGUCCCCCAACAUUUUAUAUGAAAAUUUUCAAAUAUACAGAAAAGUUGAAAGAAUGGUACAGUGAACACCCGUAUGCUCAUCACCUAGGUUCUGAAAUUAACAUUUUGCUAUAUUUGCUUUAUCACGUAGCUAUAAUGGUAUACCCUCAUGUAAUUAAUUCACAUCCGUGUAAUUAAUGUGAAUUGGUAGCAGCUGAGGAAAACCUGUCCUGGCAUGACAAAACCUGUCCAGAGGAGAGAUUUCCUGUUUAUUUAACCGCUGGUUUGCAAAAAAGAACAGAAUUCUUUUCUGCUGAGAAUUUCAAGCCCUUGGCUUAUAUAUGUUCACUUAAGAUUCUGUUUUAGAAGUCAGAGAUUUCGCCUGGAUAAUAAAGCUGAGAGUUCUACCUAAUGUUAAAUUCAAGCCCGAUUUCUGAUAGAGUUGAGGUCAUUUUACUUAUUUAUGUGAUUUUAAACAGUGAGCAUAAUUUAGCUUUUCGUGGCAUCAGGAGGCACGUGUAGAUCUCUCUGUGCUUUGGGGCUGUGAUAAUGACCGUAUUGCACUGCACAAAACGUGGGAAUUAAGAGUUCAGCUCAUUGAGCUCUAAUGCUCAGUCACAGGGCUUAAACUUUUGGGGCCUUCAUAUGUAUAUAUAGAAAUCAGUAUACAUAAAAUCUACCUACCUCCUUUGUAAAAACUGCAAGGUAGGGCUUCCCUGGUGGCUCAGUGGUUGAGAGUCCACCUGCCGAUGCAGGGGACACGGGUUCGUACCCCGGUCCGGGAAGAUCCCAAAUGCCACGGAGCGGCUGGGCCCGUGAGCCAUGGCCGCUGAGUCUGCGCGUCCGGAGCAUGCGCUCCGCAACGGGAGAGGCCAGAACAGUGAGAGGCCUGCGUACCGCAAAAAAAACAAAAACAAAAACAAAAAAACUGCAAGGUAGCGGACGUUAGUGGCCUCCCUUCUGAGGCGGCGGUGCGGGCGCUACCCGCUGGGGCUCUGCUCCCCCGCACGAGCCCGCGCAUCCUUCCCGUCGAGGUCCCCGAGUGGCGCGACCAGGCCCGGUGGCACGGAUGUUUCCAUGCAGGCGAUUUUGACAGCAGUCAUCAUACCAAGCUAUUAUGAAAUGUGAUGUCAGUCUGGAGGACGGAUAAUAUAUAAGCCAGUUCUUGACACGCUGUCUACACGGAAACAUCUGAGACCAUCAGUCCACUUCACUUUGCCAUUGAACAUGAUCCCUAUAAGCAUAUAAUACAUAAUUGUUGAAAUGUAACUAAAAUGUGGAAAACAUGUAUAUCUUCUUCUGGCUCAAGGAAUAUUAUUAUAAAAGAGUUAAAAACUGUGGCCUCUCAUUUAUACAAAUGGAAAAUUGUAUUGACUUCUCUCAAGUAGUAAGGUAAGGGAAGAAAAAUAAAGUUUUCUCCAGCCCGU